UGGGGAAUUUUGGACAAUGGGCGCAAGCCUGAUCCAGCAAUGCCGCGUGCAGGAUGAAGGCCUUCGGGUUGUAAACUGCUUUUGUACGGAACGAAAAGGCUCUGGUUAAUACCUGGGGCUCAUGACGGUACCGUAAGAAUAAGCACCGGCUAACUACGUGCCAGCAGCCGCGGUAAUACGUAGGGUGCGAGCGUUAAUCGGAAUUACUGGGCGUAAAGCGUGCGCAGGCGGUUAUAUAAGACAGAUGUGAAAUCCCCGGGCUCAACCUGGGACCUGCAUUUGUGACUGUAUAGCUAGAGUGUAGCAGAGGGGGGUAGAAUUCCACGUGUAGCAGUGAAAUGCGUAGAUAUGCGGAGGAACACCGAUGGCGAAGGCAAUCCCCUGGACAUGUACUGACGCUCAUGCACGAAAGCGUGGGGAGCAAACA
rnacentral:rRNA from 1 species